CAACAACACCCAAGAACCAGUUCAGCUAUACCAAUGCACAAUAGGGGUGUGGGUAUUUAUACCUACCCAAAUGGGUAUCAAAGAAUAGCUACUCCUAUAUCACAACAUUUCCCCACACCACAGAGGCAAAGACCUCCUGCAGCUUUCUAUUCUGAUCAUGGGGGUGAGCAAACCAUCUACUCCUUCCCUGCACAUGACUUCCCAUUGUCACAGACUCAACCAAGUCAAGGACACACAAUAUCAAGCCAAGCAUUGCAGGAUCUUGCAAUGGCUAGAAGAUUAGAAAAAAGACCAUGAGAAAAAUACCUUUUUGUUGAGAAGAGUCAGCUAUAGUGGAGCAACAGAGAAAAAACACAGAGCAGAAGAUGGAGAAGAAAGAAUUUUUUUUUUUAAAGUGUUUUAUUGUUGUUUUGUUGGCCAUGGAAUGUUAAAUACUCUGUUUUUUGAGAGCCUCAACGGCUAUAUUUUUGUAAAAAGCUAACUGAAAUGAAUUUCCCUUUAUUUAAUUAUUGUUAAAUGGUAAAUGUAACUGUUUUUUUGUCGUUUA